GACGAACGCUGGCGGCGUGCCUAACACAUGCAAGUCGAACGGAGUAAUUUCUUCGGAGAUUACUUAGUGGCGAACGGGUGAGUAACGCGUGAGAAACCUGCCUUUCAGUGGGGGACAACAGUUGGAAACGACUGCUAAUACCGCAUAAUGUUAUUUGGGGGCACCCCUGAAUAACCAAAGCUUUAUGUGCUGAAAGAUGGUCUCGCGUCUGAUUAGCUAGAUGGCGGGGUAACGGCCCACCAUGGCGACGAUCAGUAGCCGGUCUGAGAGGAUGAACGGCCACAUUGGGACUGAGAUACGGCCCAGACUCCUACGGGAGGCAGCAGUGGGGAAUAUUGGGCAAUGGGGGAAACCCUGACCCAGCAACGCCGCGUGAAGGAAGAAGGCCUUCGGGUUGUAAACUUCUUUUACCAGGGACGAAGAACGUGACGGUACCUGGAGAAAAAGCAGCGGCUAACUACGUGCCAGCCGCCGCCGUAAUAC
rnacentral:rRNA from 1 species